rnacentral:tRNA from 1 species
GCCUGGGUGGUUCAGUCGGUUGAGCAUCUGACUUCGGCUCAGGUCAUGAUCUCAUGGUCCAUGGGUCCGAGUCCCGUGUUGGGCU